AAGCUAGCAGUUAAUCUGCUUAUCUGAAUGUUUCUUCAAAAAUCUAGAAAGAGCUGGCAAUAAUGUUGUCAAGUAAUAAGCCUUAAGGACAAGUGACUGUCUUUAAGAUCCCUAAAAAUGGCUACAAUA